rnacentral:hammerhead_ribozyme from 1 species
AUCUGACGAGUCCGACAUAGAACAAAACGCGCGUCCAGGAU